CCUACGGGAGGCAGCAGUGGGGAAUAUUGCACAAUGGGCGAAAGCCUGAUGCAGCAACGCCGCGUGAGGGACGACGGCCUUCGGGUUGUAAACCUCUUUCAGCAGGGAAGAAGCGAAAGUGACGGUACCUGCAGAAAAAGCACCGGCUAACUACGUGCCAGCAGCCGCGGUAAUACGUAGGGUGCAAGCGUUAUCCGGAAUUAUUGGGCGUAAAGAGCUCGUAGGCGGUUUGUCGCGUCUGUUUGUGAAAAUCCCGAGGCUCAACCUCAAGCCUGCAGUCGAUACGGGCAGACUUGAGUGCGGUAGGGGAGAUUGGAAUUCCUGGUGUAGCGGUGGAAUGCGCAGAUAUCAGGAGGAACACCCGAUGGCGAAGGCAGAUCUCUGGGGUAGUAACUGACGCUGAGGAGCGAAAGGCGUGGGGAGCAAACAGGGAUUAGAUACCCUGGUAGUCCACCGCCGUAAACGUUGGGAUACUAGUUGUGGGGUUCCAUUUCCA
rnacentral:rRNA from 1 species